rnacentral:rRNA from 1 species
UACGUAGGGGGCAAGCGUUGUCCGGAUUUAUUGGGCGUAAAGAGCGUGUAGGCGGCCAGACAAGUCUGCUGUGAAAACUCGAGGCUCAACCUCGAGCUGUCGGUGGAAACUGUCUAGCUAGAGUCCGGAAGAGGAGAGUGGAAUUCCUGGUGUAGCGGUGAAAUGCGCAGAUAUCAGGAAGAACACCUAUGGCGAAGGCAGCUCUCUGGGACGGUACUGACGCUGAGACGCGAAAGCGUGGGGAGCGAACAGG